AUACGGGGGGUGCAAGCGUUGUUCGGAAUUAUUGGGCGUAAAGCGCGUGUAGGCGGUCUGAUUAGUCUGAUGUGAAAGCCCUGGGCUCAACCCAGGAAGUGCAUUGGAUACUGUCAGACUUGAAUACGGGAGAGGGUAGUGGAAUUCCUAGUGUAGGAGUGAAAUCCGUAGAUAUUAGGAGGAACACCGGUGGCGAAGGCGGCUACCUGGACCGAUAUUGACGCUGAGACGCGAAAGCGUGGGUAGC
rnacentral:rRNA from 1 species